GGGGGCAUGGCUCAAUGGUAGAACAUCUGCUUGGAAUGCAGAAGGUCCCAGGUUCAAUCCCUGACAUUUCCA
rnacentral:tRNA from 1 species